UGACUUUCUAAAGAUGUUGCCAUUGGGAGA
rnacentral:piRNA from 1 species